rnacentral:rRNA from 1 species
UACGUAGGUGGCAAGCGUUGUCCGGAAUUACUGGGUGUAAAGGGAGCGUAGGCGGGAUGCCAAGUUGGGUGUGAAAUGCAUAGGCUUAACCUAUGAGCUGCACCCAAAACUGGCGUUCUUGAGUGAUGUAGAGGCAGGCGGAAUUCCUAGUGUAGCGGUGAAAUGCGUAGAUAUUAGGAGGAACACCAGUGGCGAAGGCGGCCUGCUGGGCAUUAACUGACGCUGAGGCUCGAAAGCGUGGGGAGCAAACAGG